rnacentral:rRNA from 1 species
UGGGGAAUAUUGGACAAUGGGCGCAAGCCUGAUCCAGCCAUGCCGCGUGAGUGAUGAAGGCCCUAGGGUUGUAAAGCUCUUUCACCGGUGAAGAUAAUGACGGUAACCGGAGAAGAAGCCCUGGCUAACUUCGUGCCAGCAGCCGCGGUAAUACGAAGGGGGCUAGCGUUGUUCGGAUUUACUGGGCGUAAAGCGCACGUAGGCGGACUUUUAAGUCAGGGGUGAAAUCCCGGGGCUCGACCCCGGAACUGCCUUUGAUACUGGAAGUCUUGAGUAUGGUAGAGGUGAGUGGAAUUCCGGGUGUAGAGGUGAAAUUCGUAGAUAUUCGGAGGAACACCAGUGGCGAAGGCGGCUCACUAGAACAUUACUGACGCUGAGGUGCGAAAGCGUGGGGAGCAAACAGG